rnacentral:rRNA from 1 species
UAGGGAAUCUUCCACAAUGGACGCAAGUCUGAUGGAGCAACGCCGCGUGAGUGAAGAAGGGUUUCGGCUCGUAAAGCUCUGUUGGUAGUGAAGAAAGAUAGAGGUAGUAACUGGCCUUUAUUUGACGGUAAUUACUUAGAAAGUCACGGCUAACUACGUGCCAGCAGCCGCGGUAAUACGUAGGUGGCAAGCGUUGUCCGGAUUUAUUGGGCGUAAAGCGAGUGCAGGCGGUUCAAUAAGUCUGAUGUGAAAGCCUUCGGCUCAACCGGAGAAUUGCAUCAGAAACUGUUGAACUUGAGUGCAGAAGAGGAGAGUGGAACUCCAUGUGUAGCGGUGGAAUGCGUAGAUAUAUGGAAGAACACCAGUGGCGAAGGCGGCUCUCUGGUCUGCAACUGACGCUGAGGCUCGAAAGCAUGGGUAGCGAACAGGAUUAGAUACCCUGGUAGUCCAUGCNNGUAAACGAUGAGUGCUAAGUGUUGGGAGGUUUCCGCCUCUCAGUGCUGCAGCUAACGCAUUAAGCACUCCGCCUGGGGAGUACGACCGCAAGGUUG